rnacentral:rRNA from 1 species
AGUGAACGCUGGCGGUAGGCCUAACACAUGCAAGUCGAACGGCAGCACAGUAAGAGCUUGCUCUUACGGGUGGCGAGUGGCGGACGGGUGAGGAAUACAUCGGAAUCUACUUUUUCGUGGGGGAUAACGUAGGGAAACUUACGCUAAUACCGCAUACGACCUACGGGUGAAAGCAGGGGAUCUUCGGACCUUGCGCGAUUGAAUGAGCCGAUGUCGGAUUUGCUAGUUGGCGGGGUAAAGGCCCACCAAGGCGACGAUCCGUAGCUGGUCUGAGAGGAUGAUCAGCCAAACUGGAACUGAGACACGGUCCAGACUCCUACGGGAGGCAGCAGUGGGGAAUAUUGGACAAGGGGCGCAAGCCUGAUCCAGCCAUACCGCGUGGGUGAAGAAGGCCUUCGGGUUGUAAAGCCCUUUUGUUGGGAAAGAAAAGCAGCGGUUAAUACCCCGCUGUUCUGACGGUACCCAAAGAAUAAGCACCGGCUAACUUCGUG